GUGUCCUUACCCAUGGCAGAGAAACUAGGUUACCUUUAAAGUUUCCUUUGAACACAAAGCAUUCCAUGAUUCUAUGAAUUUAGCCAUUACUGGGAGCUGUGAAAAUUUCACCAAGGAUACAAAAUUGCCAUGAAAAGAUCUAUGUAUUUUCUAACUUCCAAAUACGAAGUUACUCCACAUGCAUUUAAUCACUGUGUAUUUCUGUGUGUACGUUGUGAGCCCUGGGAAAACGUCCAGCAACCGAAGGAAAAACCGAAGGUUAAAUGAGAUCAAGUAACAAUGCUUUGGCUUUGGACAUGGAACAUGAAGAAGAGUUCCCACAACUGAAGUGGUUCAUGUGACAAGUGUCAAGUUUACACAACAAUAGAGGAAUGUCAUGCACAACUGUCAUCUGGAGCCUUCUUUGUGAAUAGAAUUUGCAUUUUGUCAUGGUAUCAACGUCCCAGUCUCCACUGUGCCUGA
rnacentral:lncRNA from 1 species